GGGGAGAUAGCUCAGUUGGUAGAGUGCUUGCCUCACAUGCUUAAGGCCCUGGGUUCAAUCCCCAGCACCA
rfam:Ictidomys tridecemlineatus contig001089, whole genome shotgun sequence.